UACGGAAGGUCCGGGCGUUAUCCGGAUUUAUUGGGUUUAAAGGGAGCGUAGGCCGCUUUGUAAGCGUGUUGUGAAAUUUGCCGGCUCAACCGGUAACUUGCAGCGCGAACUGCAGAGCUUGAGUGCGCGCAACGUUGGCGGAAUUCGUCGUGUAGCGGUGAAAUGCUUAGAUAUGACGAAGAACUCCGAUUGCGAAGGCAGCUGACGGGAGCACUACUGACGCUGAAGCUCGAAAGUGCGGGUAUCGAACAGGAUUAGAUACCCUGGUAGUCCGCACGGUAAACGAUGGAUGCCCGCUGUUUGCACAUGGUUGCAAGCGGCCAAGCGAAAGCGUUAAGCAUCCCACCUGGGGAGUACGCCGGCAACGGUGAA
rnacentral:rRNA from 1 species